rnacentral:rRNA from 1 species
GAUGAACGCUGGCGGCGUGCCUAAUACAUGCAAGUCGAGCGAACGGACGAGAAGCUUGCUUCUCUGAUGUUAGCGGCGGACGGGUGAGUAACACGUGGAUAACCUACCUAUAAGACUGGGAUAACUUCGGGAAACCGGAGCUAAUACCGGAUAAUAUUUUGAACCGCAUGGUUCAAAAGUGAAAGACGGUCUUGCUGUCACUUAUAGAUGGAUCCGCGCUGCAUUAGCUAGUUGGUAAGGUAACGGCUUACCAAGGCAACGAUGCAUAGCCGACCUGAGAGGGUGAUCGGCCACACUGGAACUGAGACACGGUCCAGACUCCUACGGGAGGCAGCAGUAGGGAAUCUUCCGCAAUGGGCGAAAGCCUGACGGAGCAACGCCGCGUGAGUGAUGAAGGUCUUCGGAUCGUAAAACUCUGUUAUUAGGGAAGAACAUAUGUGUAAGUAACUGUGCACAUCUUGACGGUACCUAAUCAGAAAGCCACGGCUAACUACGUGCCAGCAGCCGCGGUAAUACGUAGGUGGCAAGCGUUAUCCGGAAUUAUUGGGCGUAAAGCGCGCGUAGCGGUUUUUUAAGUCUGAUGUGAAAGCCCACGGCUCAACCGUGGAGGGUCAUUGGAAACUGGAAAACUUGAGUGCAGAAGAGGAAAGUGGAAUUCCAUGUGUAGCGGUGAAAUGCGCAGAGAUAUGGAGGAACACCAGUGGCGAAGGCGACUUUCUGGUCUGUAACUGACGCUGAUGUGCGAAAGCGUGGGGAUCAAACAGGAUUAGAUACCCUGGUAGUCCACGCCGUAAACGAUGAGUGCUAAGUGUUAGGGGGUUUCCGCCCCUUAGUGCUGCAGCUAACGCAUUAAGCACUCCGCCUGGGGAGUACGACCGCAAGGUUGAAACUCAAAGGAAUUGGCGGGGACCCGCACAAGCGGUGGAGCAUGUGGUUUAAUUCGAAGCAACGCGAAGAACCUUACCAAAUCUUGACAUCCUUUGACAACUCUAGAGAUAGAGCCUUCCCCUUCGGGGGACAAAGUGACAGGUGGUGCAUGGUUGUCGUCAGCUCGUGUCGUGAGAUGUUGGGUUAAGUCCCGCAACGAGCGCAACCCUUAAGCUUAGUUGCCAUCAUUAAGUUGGGCACUCUAAGUUGACUGCCGGUGACAAACCGGAGGAAGGUGGGGAUGACGUCAAAUCAUCAUGCCCCUUAUGAUUUGGGCUACACACGUGCUACAAUGGACAAUACAAAGGGCAGCGAAACCGCGAGGUCAAGCAAAUCCCAUAAAGUUGUUCUCAGUUCGGAUUGUAGUCUGCAACUCGACUACAUGAAGCUGGAAUCGCUAGUAAUCGUAGAUCAGCAUGCUACGGUGAAUACGUUCCCGGGUCU